CCACGGUACAGGUGCAGUCAGAUGCGAAUUCUGAAGCGAGUCGCCAGCAUGCUGAGAGUGACCGUGAUUCUCCUCACCCUCGCUGUCCUCAGCGCAGGCUUCACUGUCCCUCCCCAAGACGAACCACUUGAUGAGUCCUGGCAGGCCCCG